UUGGAGGGCAAGUCUGGUGCCAGCAGCCGCGGUAAUUCCAGCUCCAAUAGCGUAUAUUAAAGUUGUUGCAGUUAAAAAGCUCGUAGUUGAAUUUCGAGAUGAUCAGGUUGGUCGUGCCAUUGGUAUGUACUAGCUUUGGUGGUUCCUACCUCUUGAAGAACCGUAAUGUCAUUAACUUGGUGUUGCGGGGAAUCAGGACUGUUACUUUGAAAAAAUUAGAGUGUUUAAAGCAGGCAAACGCUUGAAUACAUUAGCAUGGAAUAAUGAAAUAGGACGUUUGAUCUUAUUUUGUUGGUUUCUAGGAUCGACGUAAUGAUUAAUAGGGAUAGUUGGGGGCAUUAGUAUUCAAUUGUCAGAGGUGAAAUUCUUGGAUUUAUUGAAGACUAACUACUGCGAAAGCAUUUGCCAAGGAUGUUUUCAUUAAUCAAGAACGAAAGUUAGGGGAUCGAAGACGAUCAGAUACCGUCGUAGUCUUAACCAUAAACUAUGCCGACUAGGGAUCGGAUGAUGUUAAUUUUUUAAUGACUCAUUCGGCGCCUUACGGGAAAC
rnacentral:rRNA from 1 species